CAAUCUCAGUUCAGACUGCAGGCUGCAACUCGCCUGCACGAAGUCGGAAUUGCUAGUAAUCGUAGGUCAGCAUACUACGGUGAAUACGUUCCCGGGCCUUGUACACACCGCCCGUCAAACCAUGAGAGUUGGCAACACCCGAAGUCGGUAGUCUAACCGCAAGGAGGACGCCGCCGAAGGUCGGGGUUGAUGAUUAGGGUUAAGUCGUAACAAGGUAUC
rnacentral:rRNA from 1 species